GAAUUAGAAUGAAAGAGAGAAACCAUUUAAGCAUAGUUUUCAAAAUUUGUUAUUUGCAAACAUGCUUUAAAAUGACUUCCAGUACAAAUGUGUGAAUAAUCUGUUCUUAUCCCUCUUAAAUUAUAAAUGCUUUUACUACACCCACUUAUAAAAUCAUAAAGGUAAAAUAUAGAAAUAUCUAUCUAUCCAUCUAUCUAUCUUUUUAGACUUCCAAACCAUACAUCAAAUGCUCAAUUACUUAUAAAAACGGUUUAAUCUUCCAUAUUUCCUUCUAUCAAAUACCAGUUAAUGAGAUCUCACCACUCCACCCUGCUUCCUCUAAUCCAUUCAAACUUGAAGUGAAAACAGAACAAAGAUCUGUUUAACAGUGGGUUACACAAAAUACUAGUUUUUAUGAUUCUUCAAUAGAAACCACUCUGGUUUUAAUUAAUUUUUGGGGCGUCUAUAAUGGCAACAUCAUUGUUUUACAUUUACUGACAGUAGACAAAAGUUUAUUCAUGCAUAAUAAGAUUAGGAGAUUUGAGGGAAUAAGGAAUGGUGAUUUUAUUUAGAUUAAACCGCACAACGUAAUUUACCAAUUAUUGUUACAUUUUUACGAUACGCAUUCAACUCAACAAAUCGCAAAAAUCCAUACUUGCACAAUAUAAAUAAUAUCGUUGUUGUACGACAGCAAUUAUAUAACCCACACGAAGACAGACUUUGAUCUAUCAUUAGCUGUACAUGACAUAACCAUAUCCUGUUUCCUCAAAUCCUAGCUACAGGGUUUUCUAAAGCAAAUCAAGCACACAGUGGUUAUUUUUCGCCCACAAAGAUUUAUCAAAGCAAGGGGAACUUAUGUUCUUUGACUGGAAGUGACAGCAGUAGCUCAAUGAUAACACGUCAAACAAACGAUGAGAUAGCGGAAUUGCUUUGUCUUACCUCUCUGUGAAGGAGGCCAUCUUGAUUAUGCUCGCAGCUGACUCCGCCCAUUUCAGGAUGCAAUGAAGAUCGUUUAAAAGUUGGAGCUGACCACAGAGCCGGCGUCCCCUUCUGUCUCCAGAUUGUGCAGGAAGGCCGAAACAUGUUCAUCGUACACACUCCUCAGAU